rnacentral:tRNA from 1 species
GCCUUCGUGGUGUAAUAGUGAAGCACGCUCGGAUCGUAUUCGAGAAAUCCGUGGUUCGAGUCCCGAGGGCA